AUUUCUCAUAAGACUCUCAGGCCCCACGAAGAAUGCUAAUAACAAAAUUGUACAUCUUAGUUAGCUUAGACUGCUAUAACAAAGUACCAUGUACUGGGUGUCUUAAACGACAGACAUUUAUUUCUCACCGUUCUGGAGGCUGAGAAGUUCAAGAUCAAGGUGCUGGCAGAUGUGGUUCCUGGUGAGGGUCCUCUUCCCAGUUUGCUGAUGGCCUCCUUCUUGCUGUGUGCUUGCAUGGCAGGGAGAGAGAGAGAGAAGCAAGUUCUCUGGUGUCUCUUAAGGGCACUAAAACUAUUAUGAGACCCCACCUUUAUGAUCUCAUCUAAACAUAAUGACCUCCCAAAGGUUUCAUCUUCAUAUACCAUCAUAUUGGGGGUUAGGGCUUCGACACAUGAAUUUGGGGGGUCACAAUUCAUUGCAUAGCAUUGUACCUAUUCAGCAGUAUCCCUUUGAGAGUUAUGUCCCAGCCCUGUGUCAUGUUUUUAUAUGCAGAGGUUGACUUAGUCCUCAUUAUAUAGCUGAGGGAACUGGGUCUAGUUCAUUAACUACACUAAGGUUAUAAUCAGUAAGUUGUCACAGAGCUAGGAUUUGAGCCCAGGCAGUCUGACUGUAAAUCCCCAAAUCCUAAUUCCCUCCCUAUAUUGUCUCAACCACAGGAAAAAUCACUUUGAAACCUGAUUAACUGAGUUCAGGAGUUGUCACACUUUUAUGGACUGGGUAUAGAAGUACUCCAAACA
rnacentral:lncRNA from 10 species